UACGUAGGGUGCAAGCGUUAAUCGGAAUUACUGGGCGUAAAGCGUGCGCAGGCGGUUUUGUAAGUCUGUCGUGAAAGCCCCGGGCUCAACCUGGGAAUUGCGAUGGAGACUGCAAGGCUUGAAUCUGGCAGAGGGGGGUAGAAUUCCACGUGCAGCAGUGAAAUGCGUAGAGAUGUGGAGGAACACCGAUGGCGAAGGCAGCCCCCUGGGUCAAGAUUGACGCUCAUGCACGAAAGCGUGGGGAGCAAACAGG
rnacentral:rRNA from 1 species